CACAGAGGAGCUUGCUCCUUGGGUGACGAGCGGCGGACGGGUGAGUAAAGUCUGGGGAUCUGCCUGAUGGAGGGGGAUAACUACUGGAAACGGUAGCUAAUACCGCAUGACGUCUUCGGACCAAAGUGGGGGACCUUCGGGCCUCACGCCAUGAGAUGAACCCAGAUGGGAUUAGCUGGUAGGUGAGGUAACGGCUCACCUAGGCGACGAUCCCUAGCUGGUCUGAGAGGAUGACCAGCCACACUGGAACUGAGACACGGUCCAGACUCCUACGGGAGGCAGCAGUGGGGAAUAUUGCACAAUGGGGGAAACCCUGAUGCAGCCAUGCCGCGUGUGUGAAGAAGGCCUUCGGGUUGUAAAGCACUUUCAGCGGGGAGGAAGGCAAUAAACUUAAUAAGUUUGUUGAUUGACGUUACCCGCAGAAGAAGCACCGGCUAACUCCGUGCCAGCAGCCGCGGUAAUACGGAGGGUGCAAGCGUUAAUCGGAAUGACUGGGCGUAAAGCGCACGCAGGCGGUCUGUUAAGUUGGAUGUGAAAUCCCCGGGCUCAACCCGGGAACAGCAUUCAAAACUGACAGGCUAGAGUCUCGUAGAGGGGGGUAGAAUUCCAGGUGUAGCGGUGAAAUGCGUAGAGAUCUGGAGGAAUACCGGUGGCGAAGGCGGCCCCCUGGACGAAGACUGACGCUCAGGUGCGAAAGCGUGGGGAGCAAACAGGAUUAGAUACCCUGGUAGUCCACGCCGUAAACGAUGUCGACUUGGAGGCUGUGGUCUUGAACCGUGGCUUCCGGAGCUAACGCGUUAAGUCGACCGCCUGGGGAGUACGGCCGCAAGGUUAAAACUCAAAUGAAUUGACGGGGGCCCGCACAAGCGGUGGAGCAUGUGGUUUAAUUCGAUGCAACGCGAAGAACCUUACCUACUCUUGACAUCCAGAGAAGACUGUAGAGAUACGGUUGUGCCUUCGGGAGCUCUGAGACAGGUGCUGCAUGGCUGUCGUCAGCUCGUGUUGUGAAAUGUUGGGUUAAGUCCCGCAACGAGCGCAACCCUUAUCCUUUGUUGCCAGCGAUACGGUCGGGAACUCAAAGGAGACUGCCGGUGAUAAACCGGAGGAAGGUGGGGAUGACGUCAAGUCAUCAUGGCCCUUACGAGUAGGGCUACACACGUGCUACAAUGGCGCAUACAAAGAGAAGCGAGCCUGCGAGGGUGAGCGGACCUCAUAAAGUGCGUCGUAGUCCGGAUUGGAGUCUGCAACUCGACUCCAUGAAGUCGGAAUCGCUAGUAAUCGUAGAUCAGAAUGCUACGGUGAAUACGUUCCCGGGCCUUGUACACACCGCCCGUCACACCAUGGGAGUGGGUUGCAAAAGAAGUAGGUAGC
rnacentral:rRNA from 1 species